CCACCACCAAAGCAUUCUCUGGUGUUGAAGGCCCUGCAAAGCAGCAUCGCGGUGGCGGAGCGUCGUUUGCGACGCCCAACACACAAAACAAGCGGUGAGUGCUUUGGGGUGGGGUGACUGCGUACCUUUUGUAUAAUGGGUCAGCGACUUAUAUUCUGUAGCAAGGUUAACCGUAUAGGGGAGCCGAAGGGAAACCGAGUCUUAACUGGGCGUUAAGUUGCAGGGUAUAGACCCGAAACCCGGUGAUCUAGCCAUGGGCAGGUUGAAGGUUGGGUAACACUAACUGGAGGACCGAACCGACUAAUGUUGAAAAAUUAGCGGAUGACUUGUGGCUGGGGGUGAAAGGCCAAUCAAACCGGGAGAUAGCUGGUUCUCCCCGAAAGCUAUUUAGGUAGCGCCUCGUGAACUCAUCUUCGGGGGUAGAGCACUGUUUCGGCUAGGGGGUCAUCCCGACUUACCAACCCGAUGCAAACUGCGAAUACCGAAGAAUGUUAUCACGGGAGACACACGGCGGGUGCUAACGUCCGUCGUGAAGAGGGAAACAACCCAGACCGCCAGCUAAGGUCCCAAAGUCACAGUUAAGUGGGAAACGAUGUGGGAAGGCUCAGACAGCCAGGAUGUUGGCUUAGAAGCAGCCAUCAUUUAAAGAAAGCGUAAUAGCUCACUGGUCGAGUCGGCCUGCGCGGAAGAUGUAACGGGGCUAAACUGUGCACCGAAGCUGCGGCAGCGACGCUUAUGCGUUGUUGGGUAGGGGAGCGUUCUGUAAGCCUGCGAAGGUGUCCUGUGAGGGAUGCUGGAGGUAUCAGAAGUGCGAAUGCUGACAUAAGUAACGAUAA
rnacentral:rRNA from 2 species